UUGUGUGUACCGGAUAACAUGGAAGACCAUAUUAGCAGCUGAUAUAAAUGCUAAUGUUAUCCUGUUACGCAAGUAGGACUUGAGUCAUAAAUAACAGCUGGGUGUGUAUAAGAUGUAUAGAUGUAGUAGUAUCAACGGAAGAAAAUAAAGGUGCUAGUUACAAUGAAGACUUGAAUGUAUGGACUGUUAUAUGGGAGAGAUCGAAGAAAGAAACAUAGCUCCUGGAUAUAAGGUGGGCUCUCUUUAAUUAACACAGGCUGGUGACAAUCUGCAGCAUACUCCAGGUCAAAGAUGGCAGGCUGAUAAAAGUCUAGAGCAGCAAUAAAUAUGUGUUACAAGUUGUAAUCUGUAACCUAUAUAUAAGGCUGCUAGAGGAAGAAGAAAUAGAGAACACACAGAGGAAAACUACAACAGCAGUUGUAGAGAGAAAUUUAGAAGAGCUGAAGCUCUGAGUGAAAAGGCCGUGUGCCAUCUCUGUGUGUAAUAGGAAAGGCUGAAGCCUAGCUAGCGUGUGUAACAAAAUUAUAAGUAGUGUAGCUGCGUGUUACAUUAAUAUACAAGUUGUGUGUGUUUGUAUCCUAAUAUAUCGGAAGUUUUUGGUUUAAGGCCCAUACACGUUUCCAACAAGUGGCAUCAGAGCCGAGGUUUUGUUCGAGAAAAAAAUAAUGGUAAGUUUCCUGGAAGCCCAUGUUCCAAUGUUGACGGGCACAAAUUAUGGAGACUGGAGUAUCCAAAUGAAGGAAUUACUCCAUUUUUAUGAUGUUUGGGAUAUAGUCGAAAGCGGGUAUGAUGAGUUCACAUCAGCGGCUGAAGUAGCUCUGUCAGAAGCCGAGAAGACGACAUUAAAUGGGUGCAGGAGCAAAAAUAACAAGGCAUGUUUCAUGAUUUAUCAAGGUAUCGACGAAUCCACCUUUGAUAAUAUUGCACAUGAAAAAAAAGCAAAAGACGCCUGGGAGAUUCUACAGAAAUCAUUCCAAGGAGUCGAUAAAGAAGAAGAGGUGGAGCCUCAAGUAUUGCAUGGCGAGUUCGAGAAUAUGAAAAUGAAAAAUUCUGAAAAUAUUGAAGAAAAUGUUACGCGUUUGAAAACGGUGACAAGUGAAAUAAGAGGAAAUGGUGAAAGUCUUGAUGAUGUUCAAGUCAUGGAAAAGCUCCUUCCUCUAUUGACAACAAAAUUUGAUUGUAUCGUUAUAUUAACAGGGAAGACAAAGGAGUACUACUCUUACAGAAUUUCAAGUGAUAAGCUAGUAGAUUCUUUUCAAGUCCACAAGCAACGAAUGACUCGAUACGAGAAUCAAUCGGAAAAAAUACUAGAAAGUAAGGUAUCCGGCCAUUAAUACAAUUCUAGCAGAAGCGGCUUUGUACGUGGAAAAGGUGGUUAUCAAGGCAGACAUAAAUGUGGAAGGAAACCGUUUGAGAGACGCCAGAAAAAUGAAGUUCACCGAUCAUUUGGUCGAGGUAAAAAUUUUAAAGGCUACAAGAAGAGAUACAAAAUUUUUAAAGGGAUAAAUAUCAAAUUGGUGACUCGUUUCGUCCAAAUAUAUCAAUUCAGUGACUGAUUCCCAAAUUGACUCAAAUGAGACACUCAUUAGAAAAAUUUGUAUCAAAAAUGUUAGUCGAAAUUUUGAAAAUAUUAUAUAUUGAGUUCCGCACAUUUUUUAUGAAUGGUGUUACAUCCAAAUGAAAGAUUCCGAGUCCUACUAUUUUUGCUCAUAUUUAUAGAUUUUUAAAAUUUUAUCAACUAUUUAUUUUUAAUUUUUUGAUUGUUUUAUUUGAUUUAAAUAAAAAUAAAUAGGAGAUAAAUUUUUAAAAAUCUAAAAAUAUUAUCAAAAAUACUAGAACUCGGAAUCUUUCAUUUAGAUGUAAUACCAUUCAUAAAAAAUGUGCGAAACUCAAUAUAUAAUACUUUCAAAAUUUCGACUAACGAUAGAAUGAUAUUUUUGAUACAAAUUUUUCUAAUGAGUGACUCAUUUGAGUCAAUUUGGGAAUCAGUCACUCAAUUGAUACAUUUGGACGAAACGAGUCACCAACUUGAUAUUUAUCCCAAUUUUUAAAUGACCUGACAAAUAUUAUCAUGAAGCUGAUAAGGUGGCAUAUAUUUCACAAAAUGGAAAAGAAGCUCGGGAUAGAAAUACGAGUUUGAGGGGGAGUGUUAGAAUUCAAACUCGUAUUAAUUAUAAUAACUAGGUGAUCCUGAAAUUACGGUAGGCUGCAAGAAUAUAUGCAGAAUAAAUGGUUGGCUGUUAAGUGAGGGUUGGAGUUCAUCUUGUGUGUACCGGAUAACAUGGAAGACCAUAUUAGCAGCUGAUAUAAAUGCUAAUGUUAUCCUGUUACGCAAGUAGGACUUGAGUCAUAAAUAACAGCUGGGUGUGUAUAAGAUGUAUAGAUGUAGUAGUAUCAACGGAAGAAAAUAAAGGUGCUAGUUACAAUGAAGACUUGAAUGUAUGGACUGUUAUAUGGGAGAGAUCGAAGAAAGAAACAUAGCUCCUGGAUAUAAGGUGGGCUCUCUUUAAUUAACACAGGCUGGUGACAAUCUGCAGCAUACUCCAGGUCAAAGAUGGCAGGCUGAUAAAAGUCUAGAGCAGCAAUAAAUAUGUGUUACAAGUUGUAAUCUGUAACCUAUAUAUAAGGCUGCUAGAGGAAGAAGAAAUAGAGAACACACAGAGGAAAACUACAACAGCAGUUGUAGAGAGAAAUUUAGAAGAGCUGAAGCUCUGAGUGAAAAGGCCGUGUGCCAUCUCUGUGUGUAAUAGGAAAGGCUGAAGCCUAGCUAGCGUGUGUAACAAAAUUAUAAGUAGUGUAGCUGCGUGUUACAUUAAUAUACAAGUUGUGUGUGUUUGUAUCCUAAUAUAUCGGAAGUUUUUGGUUUAAGGCCCAUACACGUUUCCAACACAUUUUCGGUCAAAAAUAGUUAAUUUUGACCGGAUAAAAGUUACCGGUUAAUUUUGACCGUGUAAAAUUGACCGCCAAUUUCGACCGUUUGCGGUCAAAUUUAACUAUUAUUUUCGCACUUCAAAUUUUCACGAAAAUUCAAAUUUCCCG
rnacentral:lncRNA from 1 species